CAGCUUGCUGGGUGGAUCAGUGGCGAACGGGUGAGUAACACGUGAGCAACCUGCCCUCCACUUUGGGAUAAGCCUUGGAAACGAGGUCUAAUACCGAAUAUGAGCAUGCGAUGCAUGUCGUGUGUUGGAAAGUUUUUCGGUGGGGGAUGGGCUCGCGGCCUAUCAGCUUGUUGGUGGGGUAAUGGCCUACCAAGGCGUCGACGGGUAGCCGGCCUGAGAGGGCGACCGGCCACACUGGGACUGAGACACGGCCCAGACUCCUACGGGAGGCAGCAGUGGGGAAUAUUGCACAAUGGGCGAAAGCCUGAUGCAGCGACGCCGCGUGAGGGAUGACGGCCUUCGGGUUGUAAACCUCUUUCAGCAGGGAAGAAGGCUUCGGUUGACGGUACCUGCAGAAGAAGCGCCGGCUAACUACGUGCCAGCAGCCGCGGUAAUACGUAGGGCGCAAGCGUUGUCCGGAAUUAUUGGGCGUAAAGAGCUCGUAGGCGGUCUGUCGCGUCUGGUGUGAAAACCCGAGGCUCAACCUCGGGCUUGCAUCGGGUACGGGCAGACUAGAGUGCGGUAGGGGAGACUGGAAUUCCUGGUGUAGCGGUGGAAUGCGCAGAUAUCAGGAGGAACACCGAUGGCGAAGGCAGGUCUCUGGGCCGCAACUGACGCUGAGGAGCGAAAGCAUGGGGAGCGAACAGGAUUAGAUACCCUGGUAGUCCAUG
rnacentral:rRNA from 1 species